UACGUAGGGGGCAAGCGUUGUCCGGAAUCACUGGGCGUAAAGGGUGCGUAGGCGGUUUUGCAAGUCCGGGGUGAAAGUCCAUGGCUCAACCAUGGGAAUGCCUUGGAAACUGUAGGACUUGAGUACUGGAGAGGCAAGGGGAAUUCCACGUGUAGCGGUGAAAUGCGUAGAUAUGUGGAGGAAUACCAGUGGCGAAGGCGCCUUGCUGGACAGUGACUGACGCUGAGGCACGAAAGCGUGGGGAGCAAACAGG
rnacentral:rRNA from 1 species